rnacentral:rRNA from 1 species
UACGUAGGCAGCGAGCGUUGUUCGGAAUUACUGGGCGUAAAGAGUGUGUAGGCGGUGCUCUAAGUUCGGUGUGAAAUCUCCUGGCUCAACUGGGAGGGUGCGCCGGAAACUGGAGUGCUUGAGCGUGGGAGAGGAAAGCGGAAUUCCUGGUGUAGCGGUGAAAUGCGUAGAUAUCAGGAGGAACACCGGUGGCGAAGGCGGGUCUCUGGGCCGAUACUGACGCUGAGGAGCGAAAGCAUGGGUAGCGAACAGG